rnacentral:snRNA from 1 species
GUGCUUGCUUGGACAGCACACGUACUAAAAUUGGAAUGAUGUGAGAAGAUUAGCAUGGCCCCUGUGCAAGGGUAGCGUGUCAGUUUGUGAAGUGUUCACUUAAUCA